AGAGAGAGACAUGCGCGCAUAUCAAUAAGCGGAGGAAAAGAAACUAACUAGGAUUCCCUCAGUAACGGCGAGUGAAGCGGGAAGAGCUCAAAUUUGAAAUCUUCAAGGUUCUACCUUGACGAAUUGUAGUUUAAAGAAGUGUUUUCUGUUGGAGUUUUGGUAAAAGUUCUUUGGAAUAGGACAUCAUAGAGGGUGAGAAUCCCGUAUUUGACCAUUAUUUCCAGCUUUGUGAUACACUUUCAAAGAGUCGGAUUGUUUGGGAAUGCAGUCCAAAAUGGGUGGUAAAUUUCAUCUAAAGCUAAAUAUUGGCGAGAGACCGAUAGCGAACAAGUACCGUGAGGGAAAGAUGAAAAGAACUUUGAAAAGAGAGUUAAACAGUACGUGAAAUUGUCAAAAGGGAAGCGUUUGACACCAGUGUUGUUUUCUCGAAAAUCAAUUAAAAAGAGUUAGAUUUUGUUGUGUAUUGACCUUAACAGCUUGCAUUUCAAUUUUCUUGCUUUUUUUAAUGUACUUUUCGUUUAACAAGUCAACAUCAGUUUCUUUUGUUGUAAAAAGGUCAUUGGAAGGUGGCUUUCUUUUCGGAGAAAGUGUUUAUAGCCUUUGACUCCUGCAAUCGGAGAGACUGAGGUCUGCAGCGUAGAUCCUUCGGGGCUAAAUGCAUUUGUGCUAAGUUAUAGCAUUUUAUAGACAACUUGUUGACUAUGAUUUGUCUUGUAGCUUACUCGCUUAUGUUAUUUUACCUACGCUUAGGAUGUUGAUGUGAUACUGCGAGCA
rnacentral:rRNA from 1 species